rnacentral:rRNA from 1 species
UUGAACGCUGGCGGCAUGCUUUACACAUGCAAGUCGAACGGUAACAGGUUAAGCUGACGAGUGGCGGACGGGUGAGUAACACGUGGGAACCUGCCUUUUGGUUCGGGAUAACCGCGGGAAACUGCGGCUAAUACCGGAUACUCCCGUGAGGGGAAAGAUUUAUCGCCAGAAGAGGGGCCCGCGUCCGAUUAGGUAGUUGGUGAGGUAAUGGCUCACCAAGCCGACGAUCGGUAGCUGGUCUGAGAGGAUGAUCAGCCACACUGGGACUGAGAUACGGCCCAGACUCCUACGGGAGGCAGCAGUGGGGAAUAUUGGACAAUGGGGGCAACCCUGAUCCAGCAAUGCCGCGUGAGUGAUGAAGGCCUUAGGGUUGUAAAGCUCUUUUGCCAGGGAAGAUGAUGACUGUACCUGGAGAAUAAGCCCCGGCUAACUUCGU